GAUCAUGGCUCAGAUUGAACGCUGGCGGCAUGCCUUACACAUGCAAGUCGAACGGCAGCACGGGUGCUUGCACCUGGUGGCGAGUGGCGAACGGGUGAGUAAUACAUCGGAACGUACCUUAUCGUGGGGGAUAACGCAGCGAAAGCUGUGCUAAUACCGCAUACGACCUGUGGGUGAAAGCGGGGGAUCGCAAGACCUCGCGCUAUUGGAGCGGCCGAUAUCAGAUUAGCUAGUUGGUGGGGUAAAGGCCUACCAAGGCGACGAUCUGUAGCUGGUCUGAGAGGACGACCAGCCACACUGGGACUGAGACACGGCCCAGACUCCUACGGGAGGCAGCAGUGGGGAAUAUUGGGCAAUGGAGGAAACUCUGACCCAGCGACGCCGCGUGCGGGAUGAAGGCCUUCGGGUUGUAAACCGCUUUCAGUAGGGAAGAAGCGAAAGUGACGGUACCUACAAAAGAAGCACCGGCUAACUAUGUG
rnacentral:rRNA from 1 species